UACGGAGGGGGCUAGCGUUGUUCGGAAUUACUGGGCGUAAAGCGCACGUAGGCGGCUUUGUAAGUUAGAGGUGAAAGCCCGGGGCUCAACCCCGGAACUGCCUUUAAGACUGCAUCGCUUGAAUCCAGGAGAGGUGAGUGGAAUUCCGAGUGUAGAGGUGAAAUUCGUAGAUAUUCGGAAGAACACCAGUGGCGAAGGCGGCUCACUGGCCCGAUACUGACGCUGAGGCACGAAAGCGUGGGGAGCAAACAGG
rnacentral:rRNA from 1 species